GACGAACGCUGGCGGCGUGCUUAACACAUGCAAGUCGAACGGUAAGGCCCUUCGGGGUACACGAGUGGCGAACGGGUGAGUAACACGUGGGCGAUCUGCCCUGCACUUCGGGAUAAGCCUGGGAAACUGGGUCUAAUACCGGAUAGGACCCUGGGAUGCAUGUCCUGGGGUGGAAAGCUUUUGCGGUGUGGGAUGGGCCCGCGGCCUAUCAGCUUGUUGGUGGGGUGAUGGCCUACCAAGGCGACGACGGGUAGCCGGCCUGAGAGGGGGACCGGCCACGCUGGGACGCGGGUACGGCCCAGACUCCUACGGGGGGGAGCAGUGGGGAAUAUUGCACAAUGGGCGCAAGCCUGAUGCAGCGACGCCGCGUGAGGGAUGACGGCCUUCGGGUUGUAAACCUCUUUCAGCACCGACGAAGCGCAAGUGACGGUAGGUGCAGAAGAAGGACCGGCCAACUACGUGCCAGCCGCCGCCGUAA
rnacentral:rRNA from 1 species